rnacentral:misc_RNA from 1 species
GAUGAAGAACGCAGUGAAAUGCGAUAAGUAAUGUGAAUUGCAGAAUUCAGUGAAUCAUCGAAUCUUUGAACGCACCUUGCGCUCUUUGGUAUUCCGAAGAGCAUGCCUGUUUGAGUGUCAUGAAACUCUCAACUCCCAACUUUCUUAAUAGUCGGUUGGGAGCUUGGACUUGAGCGUUGCUGGUCUUUAUUGACCGGCUCGCUUGAAAUGAAUUAGCAGAUCCUUUUUGUAAUCGGUUCCACUCGACGUGAUAAGUAUUUCGCCGAGGACAUCUUAACGGAUGGCCGAGAUACAGAAAGUCUUUAGAUCCGCUUCUAAUUCUUAGAUAGAGCUUGCUCUACUAAACCCCUUUUAUGAUCUGGCCUCAAAUCAGGUAGGACUACCCGCUGAACUUAAGCAUAUCAAUAAGCGGAGGA